UCUAAAAGAAGAUGGUUUUGUUUAUUUGGCCGUGUCUGCCACUGACGCUGAACAAAAAUUUUCAUUGUAAAUAAACUUUAUAUUGAUUUUGAUCUCUCUGGUAAGACUCGCUUCCUUUCUAUUACGGCUGACCUCUAGCGGUCGUAACAAGUAUAUGGAUGAAAGUGAACAGCAGCAGGAAGUUCCUGUGUGUGUUUGUGACUGAUCUGCAGUGACUUACAGCUCAAGCACUGAGAGCCUCAACAGAGAACUGAUCUGAUCUGAUUCAACAUGGACACAUGCUUCAUACUGAUUCUCAUUGUGGGAACAGGUUUGGUGACUGGAGACAACAUUGAGCCAGAUAAAGAGAGAGAAAAAAACACUAAAGAAACAGAAACUGUCAAGAUGAGCUGCUCAUAUAGUACAAAUAGUGAAUAUGUUCUGCUUUACUGGUACAGACAAUAUCCAAACAAAGAACCUCAGUAUUUAUUACGCAAAGGAGCACGAACAUUGAGUGAUUCUUCUUAUGCACACACCUCUGAACGUCGGUUUCAGUCGACUGCAUCACGAACAUCCACUGAACUCACUAUUACUGAUGUUCGUCUGUCAGAUUCAGCUCUCUAUUAUUGUGCUCUAAGAGCCCAGUGAUACAAAAUAUGAAACACGUCGUACAAAAACCUGAAGCUCUUUUCACUUUGAACCGAUCUAGUGAAAACCACAAUCAAAACCACAAUCUAUCCAGCCCCAAAUGUAAUAAAAUAUGUGGUAACACCUGUGUGAGGCUGAAUUAGGUCUUUGAUAUAAGGCUUAAAUUAGAAAUUUCAGAAAAGAAGCAUUAACAACAUGACCAG